rnacentral:rRNA from 1 species
CCUACGGGAGGCAGCAGUGGGGAAUAUUGCACAAUGGGGGGAACCCUGAUGCAGCGACGCCGCGUGGGUGAAGGAGUAUUUCGGUAUGUAAAGCCCUAUCAGCAGGGAAGAACAAUGACGGUACCUGACUAAGAAGCACCGGCUAAAUACGUGCCAGCAGCCGCGGUAAUACGUAUGGUGCAAGCGUUAUCCGGAUUUACUGGGGGGAAAGGGAGCGCAGGCGGCGCGUUAAGCCUGGUGUGAAAGUCCGCGGCCCAACCGCGGGACUGCAUUGGGAACUGGCGCGCUGGGGUGCCGGAGGGGUAGGCGGAAUUCCUAGUGUAGCGGUGAAAUGCGUAGAUAUUAGGAGGAACACCAGUGGCGAAGGCGGCCUACUGGACGGUGACUGACGCUGAGGCUCGAAAGCGUGGGGAGCAAACAGGAUUAGAUACCCGAGUAGUC